AUUGAACGCUGGCGGCAGGCUUAACACAUGCAAGUCGAGCGGAGAUGAGGUGCUUGCACCUUAUCUUAGCGGCGGACGGGUGAGUACUGCUUAGGAAUCUGCCUAUUAGUGGGGGACAACAUUCCGAAAGGAAUGCUAAUACCGCAUACGUCCUACGGGAGAAAGCAGGGGAGCUUCGGACCUUGCGCGAAUAGAUGAUCCUAAGUCGGAUUAGCUAGUUGGUGGGGUAAAGGCCUACCAAGGCGACGAUCUGUAGCGGGUCUGAGAGGAUGAUCGGACACACUGGGACUGAGACUCGGCCCAGACUCCUACGGGAGGCAGCAGUGGGGAAUAUUGGACAAUGGGGGGAACCCUGAUCCAGCCAUGCCGCGUGUGUGAAGAAGGCCUUAUGGUUGUAAAGCACUUUAAGCGAGGAGGAGGCUACUGAGACUAAUACUCUUGGAUAGUGGACGUUACUCGCAGAAUAAGCACCGGCUAACUCUGUGGCAGCCGCCGCGGUAAAAC
rnacentral:rRNA from 1 species